CCUCAGCCAUGUGGAACUGACAGGGGGAUUUCUUGGAAUAUGGUAGUGCUGUUCAGUGUUAAACCAGGAUGGCUGGCCACUGCUCCCAGAUGCUGCUUGUCUCGGAACCACACUUUGAAUCAAUUUUCUUCAAGGCCCCUUUCAGUUCUGAAAGUUCAGGACCCUGCAGUGAAUUGGCCUCUUCUACCAGCACUGCACCAUUAACAAGAUCCUAACCUAUUCCAUGUUAUUUCACAAAACAUACUUGAAGAAGGUGAGGGGGAAGAAUGAGAAUCCACCAUCUAUGAAAAUGGAGAUGGGAAUUCAGCUUGGACUAGAAAAGGUAGCACACUGCUAAUCCUCUCUCAUCUUCUCCAGGAAGCUUUCUAAAGCCUGCUUCUGUAAGGUUCUCUGGACCCAAAGUCACAUACUGGGAAGGAAGAGAAGCCUUUGGAUAAACAUCAUGAAUUUUCCUGGAGCAACUGUUCUAUUUAAGAUUUUAUAUAAUAUUUUUUGGAAAGAAGGGAAUAGGUUUUAAAAAAUAUUUUCAAAAGUGUAACAUCCAUCUAUGCUCAUUUUAGACAAUUUGAUCAGUAUAAAAUAUUAAAUAAGAACGUUAAAAACCACUUGGACUCUUACCUAUCAUAAAUAACCACUGUAUUACUGGAUUUUGGUGAAUAUCUUUUAAUUGUGUGUGUUUGUGAGUAUGUGUUUGUAAUCAGAUUUUUUUAAAUUUGAGGCUAUAUUCUAGUCAGCUUUUUAUGUCAAUGGAUUUAAGAAUAUGUUACAUCACUUUAAAUGUAAUGUAUGGAUAUACCACAAUUUAUUUAACUAAUACCCUAUUAAUGAAUAUUUAAGAUGUUUUCUUUUCUUUUUUUUUUGAGAUAAAGUCUCACUCUGUUGCCCAGGCUGGAGUGCAGUGGCGUGAUCUGGGCUCACUGCAACCUCCACCUCCUGAGUUCAAGUUGAUUCUCCUGCUCAGCCUCCCGAGUAGCUGGGAUUACAGACACGCACCACCAUGCCCAGCUAAUUUUUGUAUUUUUAGUAGAGACAGGGUUUCACCAUGUUGGCCAGGCUGAGCUUGAACUCCUGACCUCAGAAGAUCCGCCCACCUAGGCCUCCCAAAGUGCUGGGAUUACAGGCGUGAGCCACGCUUCCAGCCAGGAUGUUUUCAAUGAAAAAAGAUUUUUGAUGAUGUUGUUAUGAAACAUUCUUUAAUAUAUAUACUUGCCUACUUAUUCAAUUAUUUCUUUAUGGCAAAUUCCUACAAAAUGAGUCACAGAAAGUAUUUAUUUUGGUAGCUGAACACACACACACGCUCGUAUAGAUAUAUUCACACAUACACAUACACACAUGUAUACAUACGUAUGUAUGUGUAUAUAUAGACCUAUUCACAUGUACACACAUAUAUACAUACAUAUGUAUGUGUACAUAUAUAUAUAUAAAGUCAAAAAUGUUUUAAACUUAAAUAUGGUUGUUACUUCUUGAGAAGAGACUGGGAUUGGGGAUGCAGUCAGAGGAAUUUGACCAAACCUAUAAUCUUUUAGUUUUUUCACAGGGAGAAAAUAUAUGUAUAACUUAAAAUUAGUUAAAAUUAAGGGUAACAAUAACCAAAAAUGGACAAGAUAAAGUAGUUAUCAAGUGGCAAUCACACAUCAUUGCAAAUAAAAUGAUCUGCUUCCUUUUGCUGAAAAUACUUAACGGUAACUACUGGAAGAAUAGAAAUACGAUAUGUAAAUGUUAAACUGCUGAAAGAAAAAAACAAAGGGAACCAGGACACCUAAAACCUUGAUUAAUCCAACAAAAGUAAGAAAUGAAAAAAUUAAAAGAAACAACAAGAAAGCGCAUAACUAAAAAGUACAAGCAUGUGGACAAAUAUGUCCAAAUAUGCCAAUAUUUGGAAUUAAUAUGAUUUGGUUAAUGUGUCUAUUAAAAGAUGGCAACUCUCUGGAUAACAAAACCAAAUGCAGUUAUAUGUUACUUAAAAGGGACACACAUGAAAAAAUGACACAAAGUUUCAAAAUAAAGGAGUGGAAAAGAUGUAUUAACUAAGGAAAUGCUGGCACCAAGAAGUAGAUAUGCCAAUAUUAAUAUAAGAUAAAAUGAAUCCAAAGCCCAAAGAAUUCAUGGUCACAGAAGACUAUUUAUUUAUUUCUUUAUUUAGAGAUGGGGUCUUGCUCUGUCACCCAGGCUGGAGUGCAGUGGCAUGAUCUUGGCUCACUGCAAUCUCCAUCUCCCAGGUUCAAGCAAUUCUCCUGCCUCAGCCUCCCAAGUAGCUGGGAUUACAGGUGUAUGCCACCAUGCCCAGCUAAUUUUGUAUUUUUAGUAGAGACGGGGUUUCUCCAUGUUGGCCAGGCUGGCCUCGAACUCCUGACCUCAAGUGAUCUGCCCGCCUUGGCCUCCCAAAGUGCUGGGACUACAGGCGUGAGCCACCGUGCCUGGCCAAAGAAGACUUUUUUUUAUUUUGUUCGUGUCCACCCAUGAACCUUUGUGCAUAGCUCCAAAAUGUAUAAAGCAAAGAUGAUAGGACAAGUAGACAAAAAAUAACCCAAGGAUUGAGAGGUGCACUUUCCAAUAUAGUAGCCACUAGCCACACAGUAUAGCCAGUAGUCACUAGGUUAUUUAAUACUUCAAAUAUGGCUAAUCCACGUUGAAAUGUGCUAUAAAGUGUAAAACAUACAUUGGAUUUCAAAGACUUGGUAUGAAAAAAUAAAGUAAAAUAGCUCGAAUAUUUUAAAUAUUGAUUAUAUUUUGAAAAGAUCAUACUUUAGAUAUGAGUUAAAUAAAAUCUAUUAAAAUUAUGAGAACUUAUGAACACAAAGAAGGAAACAACGACACUGGGGUCUUCUUGAGGGUGGAGGUUGGGAGGAGGGAGAGGAGCAGAAAAGAUAAAUAUUGGGUAGUGAGCUUAAUUCCUGGGUGAUGAAAUGAUCUGUAUGACAAACCUCUGUGACAUGAGUUUAUAUAUGUAACACACCUUCACAUGUACCCUCAAACCUACAAUAAAAGUUAAAAAAGAUUGCAACCUAAAAUAAAUGGAUAAAUAAAAUCUGUUAAAAUUAAU
rnacentral:lncRNA from 10 species